ensembl:lncRNA
GAGCACGACAUCUCAGUGUAUCCCCCACCGUCAAGAAAUCAAAAGUAACAUCAAGCAGAGAGAGAGAGAUAUGAGACAAGGACUGGAAGCAUCUCGAGAAAAGCGGUGACCAAAACCCCUGCCUUCCAAAGCAGAUAAGAAGUGAGAAACAUCUCCAAGAAGUUCAAAGGUUUCAGACAACUGUCACUUGGCAUCUAUGGGAACAGCAGGGUUGCAGGGAGACCAAAGGCUAUCACAGGACAUGGGGAACACGGCAGGGGACACCUUGGACGGGGUGCCAACCAUCGCAGGGCACAA